CACAAUAUAUAUGGCUCAAGUGAGCAAAGCAAAAAUGACAUAAACAUAAACAAUUUAAAUGAUAUGAGUAGAAAAUGAUAAAAGGCUUGAAUUUAAAGUGUAUAAAAGUAAAUGACUUGAAAUUAAAAGUUAGUCAAAUGUUAGUUGAUUAGAAGUUAGUGGAGUUUUACUUUUUAUUGUUUAAGUUAUUCUUUGGAGAACACUCAAACCUCUACUCACAAGCAUGAAUCAUU
rnacentral:lncRNA from 1 species